rnacentral:lncRNA from 1 species
ACAUCUCUUGGAGUUCUAGCUCACCUUUCUGGUGUUGUUCUUGUACUCAUCUGUUUAAUCUAGUUCUGCCACUUCUUCUUGAACUUCUUGUUAGAUUUCAAGUCUGUAUUUUGUGUCCGUGACACCUUGUAGAGAAGCUAAUUAUGUGGUAUACAUAUAGAAAACUUGCCUUGGAAGUUAAGAUACAUAUCUUCCAAAGUCAAUAUGUUUUGGAGGUCUUAUAAGACAUUGUUACAUAGCUCUUAGUUAAGAAUAUAUAUAGAAGCAAGAAUAAAGCCU